CUUGCCACCCCUCGCGGCUCGCAGGAUAAUGAGCCCAGACCUCGCUGCUAGCGAAAGGCCGAACCUGCAUGGAUAAUUCCCGCAUGCUCUUCCUCCAAACUCCACAAGGUAACCUUCACACUCCAGCCGUGGUUACUUAUCCGAUCUUCGACAGUUUUUUUCUGGGCCAGAAUGGCUCUGAAAUCUUUCAUCGAAGUCCAUCCCGACUUCCACUUCCCCAUCCAAAACCUCCCCUACGGAGUGUUCAGGGUUGCCCGGUACAGUGGCUUGACCGGGCGUGGCGAUCGGGGACUACGUUCUGGAUUUUUCCGUGAUCGUCUCUUCCGGGCUCUUCGAUGGCCCAAUCCUGAAGAACUCCGAUUGCUUCUCUCAGCCUGAUUUAAACAAGUUCCUGGCUAUGGGACGUCCUGCUUGGAAAGAAGCUCGUGCUUUGCUUCGGAGACUAUUGUCAUUGUGAAAACAUGUAAAGAAUGAAAUACAAUGCACUCAAGGUGCUCGAGAAAAUGACACAACCAGAGAGGAAAAAUUUCCUUUGUAUUUCGUAUUCUCCAACCUACUGUUCAUUACAUCUAUGUGCUAUUUAUAUCAGAAACUUUCCAAAGAAUUAGAUUACAUCAACGGUUCAGAUUUACACAAAUGAUUGUAAAUGAUAUUCUAGACCUAGGACACUUUUAGCUCUUUCAUUGGUUCUCUUGAAGAUGCUUUUGGAAGAUGCUCUUUUGUAGCUGUUGUUUGCUUCUGGCUGUGGUCUGUGCUGUCUGGUGCAGCAAUUUGGGUGUGAGCCUUGCCAUGCGCAUUACCAUGCGUUGUGGCUGCAGAGUUUGUCGUUGCUUCAAUAGUCAUGUAUGCCAACUAUCAGUUAGUGGUAUUAAUACCCUUUGGUGCUUCAUGUCAGUGGUGUUGUUUCAUGUUUGUCUGAUAUUUGAUGCUAUAUUGACAAGAGGUUGGUUUUGACAGCCACAGACAUUCAGGCAUGGGAAUAUGUUCCUCUCAGCCCUUUUCUUGGAAAGAGUUUUGGUAAAAAGAUGAAAUUUUAUUACUCCAAUUUUCAAAAUUCAUCUGGCAAACUUGAAGGUCAGGAUACACACACUAUGUCUACCUGCUGUCUCACUAAGGAUUGCACAUGUACUUUGCUUACAAGUGAUUCUUUAGUCUGUGGAGAACUGAAUUUUGUUUACAUACUCUUUUUAGGUACUACAAUAUCCCCAUAGAUUGUAACGUUAG